rnacentral:rRNA from 1 species
GAUGAACGCUGGCGGCGUGCCUAAUACAUGCAAGUCGAGCGAACGGACGAGAAGCUUGCUUCUCUGACGUUAGCGGCGGACGGGUGAGUAACACGUGGAUAACCUACCUAUAAGACUGGGAUAACUUCGGGAAACCGGAGCUAAUACCGGAUAAUAUUUUGAACCGCAUGGUUCAAAAGUGAAAGACGGUUUUGCUGUCACUUAUAGAUGGAUCCGCGCUGCAUUAGCUAGUUGGUAAGGUAACGGCUUACCAAGGCAACGAUGCAUAGCCGACCUGAGAGGGUGAUCGGCCACACUGGAACUGAGACACGGUCCAGACUCCUACGGGAGGCAGCAGUAGGGAAUCUUCCGCAAUGGGCGAAAGCCUGACGGAGCAACGCCGCGUGAGUGAUGAAGGUCUUCGGAUCGUAAAACUCUGUUAUUAGGGAAGAACAUAUGUGUAAGUAACUGUGCACAUCUUGACGGUACCUAAUCAGAAAGCCACGGCUAACUACGUG